GUGGCGAACGGGUGCGUAACACGUGGACACCUUCCUUCAGGUGGGGAAUAACCCAGUGAAAAUUGGGAUAAUACCGCAUAACAAGACGGGGGCACAUGCUCUUGUCUUCAAAGGCGCAAGUCGCCGGAAGAGGGAUCCGCGGCCGAUUAGCUUGUUGGCGGGGUAAAGGCCCACCAAGGCAAUGAUCGGUAGCCGGUCUGAGAGGAUGGCCGGCCACACUGGAACUGAGACACGGUCCAGACUCCUACGGGAGGCAGCAGUGGGGAAUCUUGCGCAAUGGGCGAAAGCCUGACGCAGCGACGCCGCGUGGGGAUGAAGCUUCUCGGAGUGUAAACCCCUUUCGACCCGGACGAAAGCCCGCAAGGGCCUGACGGUACGGGUAUAAGAAGCCCCGGCUAACUACGUGCCAGCAGCCGCGGUAAAACGUAGGGGGCCAGCGUUGCUCGGAAUUACUGGGCGUAAAGGGUCCGUAGGCGGUGUGGCAAGUCGGUAGUGAAAUCUCUCGGCUUAACUGAGAGGCUGCUGCCGA
rnacentral:rRNA from 1 species